CAGUAGCCGCGGUAAUACGUAGGGUGCAAGCGUUAAUCGGAAUUACUGGGCGUAAAGCGUGCGCAGGCGGUUCGUUAAGACAGAUGUGAAAUCCCCGGGCUUAACCUGGGAACUGCAUUUGUGACUGGCGGGCUAGAGUAUGGCAGAGGGGGGUAGAAUUCCACGUGUAGCAGUGAAAUGCGUAGAGAUGUGGAGGAAUACCGAUGGCGAAGGCAGCCCCCUGGGCCAAUACUGACGCUCAUGCACGAAAGCGUGGGGAGCAAACAGGAUUAGAUACCCCUGUAGUCCCUGUCUCUUAUAA
rnacentral:rRNA from 1 species